AUGGGUGAGGAGACCAGUUAUUGUGGGCAAGCUAGCAGCGCUGAGCCUGUGCUUUCCCCCACUGCCCGGCUCUUCUGUAUGGCUGAAGCUUCCCAGAGUCAAGAGAAAGAAAACUUUCCCUGGAAGUUUUCUUCACUGGCAGAGCUUGUUCCCUUCCAAGCUCUCCUCUUGGGAUGGAGCCAAAACAGCAGAAAGUUUGGUGCUGUUCAGUUAUCAGUGAUAACCCUGGCUGGAGAAAGCCCUUUGCUGUGGUCUGGAUUUUCCCAGCAAGCUCAAAGCCACAUCCUCUCUGACUCCAGAAAAACAGCUCUGACCUGGAGGUCCCAUUUGCUUCCUCACUUCAGUCUUGACCUGCAGCAUCUUCUGCCUCCCCCUGCCUCAGUGUGGCUGCACCACAGCAUCCGUUUGCUGCCAUGGGCAACAGCAAGUUGCAGCACACAUGGGACACACCAGCUGGAGCGCAAGUCCCAGUGCAUCUUGCCAGAGCCACCUUACCCUGUGGCCUCAGGUCAGAAGUUGUCACGGGUCGUGGAAAGUCAAGAGGGUUUGGAGAGCAAGUUUCUCAGCCGACUGUGGCAAAGCUCGUGGAGGAUAGUUAUAAACAGCAUCCCUGGCAAGAGCCAGGAUGCAAAUCAUGGGAGAGCCCCCCACCUGUGUGUGUCACUGGGUGAAAGCAGCAACGCCAAGCAGUGCCAGAUCAGCCUCAGCCUCCCCAGUGCAGCUGAACAGAGCCGUACUGUGGACGGUGCCAUGGUGCCUGGCCACCCCCAACAUCCCAGACUAGGUCCCUGUGGUUGGUUGGCCAGCAACACUGUCCCAGUGCCACCAGGUGGCAGCUCUUGUCCAGGUACCUGUCAGCAUUGCACUGUGUCCAGCCAUCCAGGUCUGGCACUGGCUGUGCCCACUGGCCAUGCACAGCCCCAGGGCUGCCCAUGCUGUGUGGCCAAGUACCGUAGGCUGGCACUGUGCUAUCAUCCCAGUGUCUUUUGUAACACCCACCUGCCUGAAGAGUUUAUGGACCAGGAACUCCUUGGGGUGCAUGAAGACUCACAUAGGAGAAGAGGUUUGGUCCUUGUGAGAGCCACCCUUGCUGCCGGGCAUCCCCAGGAGCUGCUCCAUGGAUGGGGGAGUACAGGAUGCUGCACGCGGGGUCUGCGCAGAGGGAGCACAGCACAGAUUGCUACGCCUUGCGUGAUCUCACAGCAAAUCCAGGCUAGCAAUAACCAGGUGGAACAAUGCAGUGCAAAGUGCAUGCAAGGCUACAGCCUCACCUUGUGCAACACAACACAGCGCAAGGGCCCGUACAAGUGA
rnacentral:lncRNA from 1 species